GGCGGCAUGGCCAAGUGGCUAAGGCAUAGGACUGCAAAUCCUUGAUCCCCGGUUCGAAUCCGGGUGCCGCCUCCA
rnacentral:tRNA from 1 species